rnacentral:tRNA from 1 species
AAAAAAUUAGUUAAACAUUAUAACAUUAGUAUGUCAAACUAAAAUUAUUAUUAUUAUAUAAUAUUUUUUG